GUGCUUACAAUGCAGUCGAACGGUGAAGGCCCUUCAGGGGUACACGAGUGGCGAACGGGUGAGUAACACGUGGGUGAUCUGCCCUGCACUUCGGGAUAAGCCCGGGAAACUGGGUCUAAUACCGGAUAGUACUGCGCGGUGCAUGCCGUGUGGUGGAAAGAUUUAUCGGUGCAGGAUGGGCCCGCGGCCUAUCAGCUUGUUGGUGGGGUAAUGGCCUACCAAGGCGACGACGGGUAGCCGGCCUGAGAGGGCGACCGGCCACACUGGGACUGAGACACGGCCCAGACUCCUACGGGAGGCAGCAGUGGGGAAUAUUGCACAAUGGGCGCAAGCCUGAUGCAGCGACGCCGCGUGAGGGAUGACGGCCUUCGGGUUGUAAACCUCUUUCAGCAGGGACGAAGCGCAAGUGACGGUACCUGCAGAAGAAGCACCGGCCAACUACGUGCCAGCAGCCGCGGUAAUACGUAGGGUGCAAGCGUUGUCCGGAAUUACUGGGCGUAAAGAGCUCGUAGGCGGUUUGUCGCGUCGUCUGUGAAAACCAGCAGCUCAACUGUUGGCUUGCAGGCGAUACGGGCAGACUUGAGUAUUUCA
rnacentral:rRNA from 1 species